UACUAUUGAGUGAAUUUGUGCGUUCACCCUGUGGGGAUUUGAAUGCUAACGCUGAGACAUUGUGAGGCAGCGGGCGGCCGGGUGUCCUAGUGGUUUGCAGAUCUGCCUCACGGUCUGAAAAUCUGGGUUCGUAUCUCCGUUCUCUGGGUACUACAACUUCCCCUCAGGUUCCACAAACAUCCAUGUUAGGUUUCCUAGACUCCAAAUUAUGCUUGUCUAUAUGUGCCCUACGAUUCGCCGCGGACCAGUCCGGGGUGCAUCCCGCCUCACCCGCGGCUCGAUACUCGACAAGCACUUUAGAAAAUGGACGCAUGCGUGUAAGACAGUGCUCGCACUGGGUUAUUUUGGGCUGUACAUGCAAUGGUGAAAUGUAAAUCAAAGGCUGUUUUGAUUGGCCCGAAACGUACAGACAUGGAAGUAUAAUGACAGGCUUGUAAAAAUCACUUGCUUGGUCCACACUUACCACACACGCACACACACACAAACGAGUGGAACAUGUUGUUUUAAACUUUUAACCAAACAUUGAGCAUGUUUUUUUCUUCUCUCUGCCAAAUGCAGGGUUAAAAAUGUACUGUGCUGUUUUCUUACAGGAAAUACUUACAGACUAAAAGUGGGAUUCGAACCCCCACGCCGCCAUUGGGAGACCAGAAGUCCCAUCCACCAAGCAGAUUGAUGCCCAAGCAUUCAUUUGUAAAGUUUAAAGACUGUAAAGUGACUUCGGAGAUUUGUUUCUAAAUGUAUUACAUAUUUUUGAAGCUAAUUGCUGAAAACUUGCAAAGCCUGAGAAGCCAGCGUGUGGACAGGGAUUUCAUGCUGGUGUGGCCGUCGUAGAGCGCCUCGUUGUCGGCCGUGAGUGCUUGCCUGGCAGGGAGAGGAAGGUGCAAAAGCAAGAUAAAACAAAAUUUAAAAGUAUGACACGACAGCCAGUGUGUGGACAGCGGUUUCACGCUGGUGUAGCCGCUUUAGAGUGCCUCGUUGUUGUGAUGUGGAAAAGCCCCUCGAUGAGCCGGUGGGAUAUAUUCCAUACUCAUGAUAAGGCAUGUCUCCCAUAUUUCAUGUUGCUAAGUAAUAACUGGCAUCUGGGGCUAAAUUGUUUAAUUGUGAUGUGCGCUAGCGAGCUAAUUUUUCCCUAAUUCUACUUAUGCCAAAAUGACCCUACAAUGGCCUCCUCAAACCAAAAUGGCUGACCUCCUGUGUCAGGCAUGGGUUCUUGAGAUUUUUUUUCUGGGUCUUCUCGUGAUAGACAUGCCUACCAAAUUUCACGUGGCUCAGUAAAACUCCCUUCGGGGGUGAAUUUUUCCAAAAGAAUUUUCCCAGAAAUUUGCCGGAAAUUUGAUCCGCCAUUGAAGCUGUCAUCUGGACUUUAAAGUCUAAUUUUCCCGAGCUCACAUCUCAGACAAAAUAAUAGCACCAAACAAGUUGCACAUUUUGUUUUUUGGUUGAUUCCAGAACCACUUUGUCAAUCCAGUCUUUUGUUACGAGUGUUUUUUAAAAAAAAUUAUUUUUGUGUGUGUGUGUGUGUGUGUGUGUGAUGUUAACACCAGCGCAGAUCCACACGGCUCCGCUUCCUCAUCCUCUUCUUGGCCGUAUCACACACACUGUGCGUGCUUGUGUGUGUGUGUAGCCGGAGUCCCAAGUACUUCCGGUUGUCAACAGAUAAAGUAGGCCAGCGAACAUGACACACACACACACACACGCACGCGCGCACACACGGACAGCUGCUGCUACAGUUGUAAGCGUGCUUAUCUGUGGUUGGUCCUCACUUUAAGGACCCGUGUUCAGUGUAGUGAUAGGCAAGGCAAGGUUACGAGCUUUUUGUGUGUAGUUGGUAUGUGUGUGGUCUCGUCUUCAUUGGGGUUCAUUUUUCAACUCCGCUAAAAAUGUAAAACACUAAAGCCUUUUCGCUUUAUGUAAUGAUAGUCCAGUGUUUUGUAGCUGUGCUAUGCACAACGUCCCAAAUUUGGGGGAUAUUUGGCUUCCGGUGGAAAUUUCAGGAUGAACCUAGAAUGUACUAUAAUCUUGAAUUGAUUUUGAACAUUCUGUCAAUGUUUUAAUGCACGCCUGUUUCUGCAGUUUGCAUGUUGCUGUUCUAUAUUAUCGACACUUCCAAGGACAUUCAUUUCUAUGCCUUUCUGUGACUCUUCCAGUCUCUGUAUUUUUGAAUUCGGUACGUGGGGUAUGCUAGCGGAGUUGGUGCGUCAACUCCGUCGGGAUGCCGACGGGGGUUGCGUGGCUUAAAUACUUGUGGCUGCAUCCGAAGAAAACCCAAGCAGGAAAUGAAGAUGAAUCUGCGUUUAAUGCCAGGCCGAGGAUGUGGCUCGCGCCAAACAACAGCGCUGAAACGCUAAAUGUUGCCGAUCGCGUCGUUCCAAGGAGACUGCGGUGUGUCACAACGGGGAAGUUGAGCCAAAAUGGCCGGCGGCCCGUCUUCCCAUUGACUGUUUCCAAAUUUGCGGUGGAGCUUCAUAAACGCAGCUGACUUUUGGCAAGAGAAGCGGGAUACGCCGUCAACUGACUGCCAAUCAAUUGCAGGACAUCGGUGACUGUUGGUGGUGGGCGAAGCGAGGCGCACUUUGGACAAUUGCAGAGCACAUCUGACUCAUUCUUGGACCUGACUCCGAUUCUGAUUCAGAACCCAGACGGAGUUCGGAGUCCUUUAUCAUCACCGGCAGGAAGACCCCCGGCAGCCCCCGACGUGCCGACUGACCGAGAUUUAUUGUGCGUGAGUGAUUUUACACACACACGCGUACACGUCGAGGACCACACAGCAUACAAGUAAGACACGGUCGUGCGAAGCACAUGGAGAGAAGCGAUAAGGCGCAACAAGCACUUGAAAAGCUGCCGGCAGACGAGGAUACUAGGACGGCCGAUGCCCUCCCCUCCCCUUCUCUUGACCUUUGAACCUCCCCCACCGCCCGGUCUCGUCACGCCUCUCGUCUCGCCACGUCUCCCUCUCAGUGCUGUCUGUCUCUCGUCUUCCUCACGUCACUUUCGUUCUGUCUUGCUCCCGCGCAGGCACAGAGACUGUGUUGUCCUACUUUCUCUUAGUGCUGCAAAUGCAACUGAGGGGCUCACCGCUAAUUUUAAAAUAUAUAUGUAAAAAAUGUCCUUAAAUGUUUUUUGUUUUUUUAAUUGUAUCAAAGAACCUGGAAAUGAAAUUACUAUUAAAA